rnacentral:rRNA from 1 species
UGAGGAAUAUUGCGCAAUGGGGGAAACCCUGACGCAGCGACGCCGCGUGGAUGAUGAAGGCUUUCGAGUCGUAAAAUCCUGUCAGAUGGGAAGAAGUGCAUAUAUAUUAAUACUGUAUAUGUUUGACGGUACCAUCAAAGGAAGCACCGGCUAACUCCGUGCCAGCAGCCGCGGUAAUACGGAGGGUGCAAGCGUUGUUCGGAAUUACUGGGCGUAAAGCGCGCGUAGGCGGUGUGUUAAGUCAGAUGUGAAAUCCCACGGCUCAACCGUGGACGUGCAUUUGAAACUGGCACACUUGAGUACUGGAGGGGGUGGUGGAAUUCCCGGUGUAGAGGUGAAAUUCGUAGAUAUCGGGAGGAAUACCGGUGGCGAAGGCGACCACCUGGCCAGAUACUGACGCUGAGGUGCGAAAGCGUGGGGAGCAAACA